rnacentral:rRNA from 1 species
CGCUGGCGGCAGGCCUAACACAUGCAAGNCGAGCGGCAGCACGGGUAGCAAUACCUGGUGGCGAGCGGCGGACGGGUGAGGAAUACAUCGGAAUCUGCCUUGUCGUGGGGGAUAACGUAGGGAAACUUACGCUAAUACCGCAUACGACCGAGAGGUGAAAGCGGGGGAUCGCAAGACCUCGCGCGACAAGAUGAGCCGAUGUCGGAUUAGCUAGUUGGCGGGGUAAGAGCCCACCAAGGCGACGAUCCUUAGCUGGUCUGAGAGGAUGAUCAGCCACACUGGAACUGAGACACGGUCCAGACUCCUACGGGAGGCAGCAGUGGGGAAUAUUGGACAAUGGGCGCAAGCCUGAUCCAGCCAUGCCGCGUGGGUGAAGAAGGCCUUCGGGUUGUAAAGCCCUUUUGUUGGGGACGAAAUCGUACGGGUGAAUAUCCCGUGCGGAUGACGGUACCCAAAGAAUAAGCACCGGCUAACUUCGUGCCAGCAGCCGCGGUAAUACGAAGGGUGCAAGCGUUACUCGGAAUUACUGGGCGUAAAGCGUGCGUAGGCGGUUUGUUAAGUCCGCUGUGAAAGCCCUGGGCUCAACCUGGGAAUUGCAGUGGAUACUGGCAAGCUAGAGUGCGGUAG